AGAAAAACAAAAUUUAUAGCAUCCCUUUGCCCACCAACCGCCAAAAACUGGAAACCCUAGGCGAUGGAGGGCAGAAAAUUGAGAGAAAAGCUGAAGAGAUGAAACUUCCCUUGAUUAUUCUCUCCAUUAUUACGUAGUUUGCCUCUAAUCCCUCUCUGUCUUUCCUCUUCUAUUCUCUUCUUCCAGCAAUCCAAUUUCACAUACGUACCUUUUAAGUUUCAUAUCAAUGUCUAAGAGGGUACUUUGCAAGUUUUUUGCUCAUGGAGCAUGUUUAAAAGGGGAGCAUUGUGAGUUUUCACAUGACUGGAAAGAUCCUCCAAAUAAUAUUUGUACCUACUAUCAAAAAGGAAUCUGCUCUUAUGGCAGUCGAUGCAGAUAUGAACAUGUUAAACUAUCUAAGUUGAAUUCUGCUUCUUCUUCAUCAACAGUUCCUCUCCAAUCUGCGGUAUCAAUUUCUGUUCCUCUUGCUCGUUCCGUGAGAACUGGAUUUGAUAGGGGAACAUCAGCCCCUGGUGCUACUGGAGAGCUUUCUGCUUCAAGUAGACCUUACUUUCCUCCCACUAAGCCAGCAUGGAAUUUGGAGUCAGUACCAAACAACAUUUUAGAAAAUGAUGACAUUAUAGAACCUAGGAAUGUUAAACCAGAAGAGCGUUCUCUCUGUUCAUUUGCUGCUGUUGGUAACUGCCCUCGUGGAGAUAAAUGUCCUCAUAUUCAUGGUGACAUUUGCCCCACUUGUGGGAAACAUAGCUUGCAUCCUUUCAGACCUGAAGAAAGAGAGGAACAUUUGAAAACAUGUGAGAAGAAACAAAAAUAUCUUGAAGCAUUAAAACACAGUCAAGAAAUAGAGUGCAGUGUAUGCCUAGAUCGUGUUCUUUCAAAGCCCACGGCAGCUGAACGAAAGUUUGGGUUGUUAUCAGAAUGUGAUCAUCCCUUCUGUAUAUCCUGUAUUAGAAACUGGCGUAGUAACUCCCCAACUUCUGGAAUGGAUGUCAAUACUGCAUUGAGGGCUUGCCCAAUAUGCCGUAAGCUGUCAUAUUUUGUUGUUCCAAGUGUCAUUUGGUAUUCCUCUAAAGAAGAAAAGCUGGAGAUCAUUGAUAGCUACAAGGCAAAACUAAGCUCCAUAGAUUGUAAGCAUUUUGACUUUGGGAAUGGGAGCUGCCCAUUUGGGACAAGUUGUUUUUACAAGCAUGCAUACCGAGAUGGCUGUUUGGAGGAAGUCGCGCUGCGUCAUCUUGGAGCUGAAGAUGGAAAUACUGUGAUUGCUAAAAAUAUAAGGCUUUCAGAUUUCCUUAGUAGCUUGCAAUUAAGUUGAAUCGGGCUGUUCACUCAUUCCUAUGUAUCCAACAAUAUCAAGAUAUUUAUAUUUUCAGCUUGUAAAAGGUCUUCAAUUUCCUGUAUGGAACUCUAGUUGUUUGUGAGGAUUGCUUGCUAGAGGAGACUUAAUUAUGGGAAGCUGGAAGGUGUGUAAUAAUUAUGUUAAAAUGAAAUAAUAGUGUGAAGAAAGCGUCAGCCUCAUGCAAAAGAAGUACAUUUAGUGAUAAGUUAUGAACUUGCCGAUGAAUAUGAAUUUGAAGAAUGGAUGAUGUUUGCUAUAAUACAGCUUUGCUUCCCUCACAGAGGAAAGGGCAGUGAACUAUGUUUAGCUAUUGGAUUUUUUUUUAGCCUUAUCAUCCUCAAUAUUAUGAGGUAUAAAAUAGGUGUCAUAAUUUCUGGAAACUUGAUUAUCAGGACAGGCAUCUCAUACUGAAUUAGUUCUUCCUCGGUAAAGCUGCAUUGUUUACAAGUGGCUUGUAUAAUGAUUUUGACAUUGAAGUAUAUAAAUGAGAUUUUUGUAGAAUUGUACUUCAAA